rnacentral:rRNA from 1 species
CAGUAGCCACGGGAAUACAGAGGGUGCAAGCGUUAAUCGGAAUUACUGGGCGUAAAGCGCGCGUAGGUGGUUUGUUAAGUUGGAUGUGAAAGCCCCGGGCUCAACCUGGGAACUGCAUCCAAAACUGGCAAGCUAGAGUACGGUAGAGGGUGGUGGAAUUUCCUGUGUAGCGGUGAAAUGCGUAGAUAUAGGAAGGAACACCAGUGGCGAAGGCGACCACCUGGACUGAUACUGACACUGAGGUGCGAAAGCGUGGGGAGCAAACAGGAUUAGAUACCCGAGUAGUCCCUGUCUCUUAUAC